AGGGUAAUAGUUAAAAAUAACAUUUGAUUUGCAAUCAAAAAGUAUUGAUUCAGCAAUUUACCUUU
rnacentral:tRNA from 1 species